AACGCGAAGAACCUUACCUGGGCUCGAACGGCUUCGGACAAACUGUGGAAACAUAGACUGAUCCGCAAGGAAGCCAGCAGAGGUGCUGCAUGGUUGUCGUCAGCUCGUGUCGUGAGAUGUUGGGUUAAGUCCCGCAACGAGCGCAACCCCUAUCUCAUGUUGCUAAUCCCGCAAGGGAUGCACUCUUGAGAAACUGCCUUCGAUAAGAAGGAGGAAGGUGGGGACGACGUCAAAUCCUCAUGGCCCUUAUGUCCAGGGCUACACACGUGCUACAAUGGCCGGUACAACGGGAAGCAAUACCGCAAGGUGGAGCAAAACCCUGAAAGCCGGCCUCAGUUCAGAUCGUGGGCUGCAACUCGCCCACGUGAAGGCGGAAUCGCUAGUAAUCGCGAAUCAGCAGGUCGCGGUGAAUACGUUCCCGGGCCUUGUACACACCGGAGUA
rnacentral:rRNA from 1 species